rnacentral:lncRNA from 1 species
CCGUCGACGAAGUAGGCGGAGCAGGGGUAGCCGCGGGAGGAGGAGGCGACGACGCGGGCCUCGACGUCGGAGAGCAUGGGCGGGAGCACCACGAUCCCGCCGCCGCGGGUGACGACCUCGAGCAGGCCCAGGGCGGCGCCCGCGGGCCGGGGCGGCGCGAAGUAGGAGGUGUCGGGCCGGAAGGGCGCCCACUCGGGCUCGGACAUGCGGGCCAUGGCGCCGUCGAUGGCCUCCUCCAGCCGCCGCUUGAGCGCGCCCGCGCCUUCCCCGGUCGCCGGCGACUCCCCCGCCGCGUCCAGCUCCAGCACCAUCGCGCCCCCCGCGCCCGGGAGCCGCGUGUGGUGGGCGCGGUGGCCCGCGGGGGCCGUGGCCAACAGCCGCCGGGAGCACGGGAGGUGAGCUUCGUUUCCCAGCUCCCGUCAGAUCCACUUGUGAAGGGGCUACGGGUUGAAUACCUAAAAGUGGAGGGGGGUUUAUGCAAAAAUGCCGACGACGUACGACAGAAGCAAUACGUGCUUUAUUAAUACUAGUAAAAAUGCCCGUGCGUUGCAACGGGAAUAUAACAAAUACAUAUAACGCUACAUCUGGUAAAGUUGCUUCUCUAAACUUGUAAGGAUGCUGCUAACAAAAUGAUUAAAAAAAUUAUAGAAAACUUUUACUUAGGAACGACAUUUCAAUGACCUCAUCAAGCUGAUAUCAGGUUGGCAACAUCUGAUUCACGUCACAUAUGGCACAUAUCUUGGUAUGAGUCCAACAAAACAAUCAGAUGAGGGACAAUAUCUAGAUUGUUGACUGUAUCUAGAUUAGUAUAUCGAUGCGAGUAAUUGGAAAAUUUCUCACCGACCGUGACAAAUAUUUACGGUGGUCGUUAUAUAUUGAAUGGCAAGAUUCGUAAUUUACGUGCAUGAAUUCAAAUCAUCUUUUAUUGAGCGAAUUCUAAUCAUUACAGGUGUUUCACAUUGCGAGAAAAUACCAUAGACAAACGUAUAUAUGCAUAUCACAUCCGAUAUCAAGAGAAAAUAUGUGAAAAGACACUAAGGAUUAAUCUCAUACAGGAUGGAUCAAGAAACAAAUUAAUACAUGUUAUUCGACAACUUCAAUUGCAGGGAGAAACAACCCAAAUCCAAUCUUGUCCCUAGCGAGUCAUCUAUGCUACCACUUGCCCUCUUUGUCACUGUCGCCGACUCUUGUUAGAUGGUAAUCCUGCAGUCAGAUAUAGUAGAUCAGUUGUCAUUGUACAAUGUACAUAAUAAAAUCUGAAUAUGUUUGGAACACAACAAAUGCUGCAAAACGAAGGCAUCUCAGUUUAAGAAGGUAGACAGUGUAAGGUAGAAAUGAUAAGCCCUGUCAUUAAAUGAGUUUAACUACUAAUUCUUAAUUGGCCCAAACACUCCAAGGAAAUCCAGAAGGAUGCUUUAGCUUAUAUAAAAAGAAGUGCUAGAAUUAUGCUACUAAGUACUACUGGCUUCAUUCAGAUCAUCAAUUAAAUAAUCUAUUGCAACAUUCACAGAAAGGAGACCAGACACAUUUUUGCAUAUAGAUUUCAAUCAAAAAUAUCAACUGAGUUUCACAAAGAAACAAAUACCGGGAACAGAGAGACAUAGUAAUCCCCGAUAGUAAGCAUACUGUAGGCAAAUAGGCUUCCAUUUUCCAAGAAAAAACAAACAACUAUACCCCAGAACUUCCCCUACCAGACACAACCAAAAGUAGCAGCAGUCAGCACAAAACACUCAAAUCAAAGUUGAGAACGGUGCAAUAACCAUCAGAUGAACCUGCAGAACGAAAGAAAAAAUCAGGACUGAAAAAGGCAUGAACCUGGGAUCUCCUGAAGAUCUCGUUCGUCACAGAUAAAGAAGUGGACGUCUGCGCAGCGCAAGCAAAGACUUUGGCUCGGCGACACAGUUCGUUGCAAGAUGCUAGACACUUGAACACAAUAAGAAACUAAUUCAUUUCUAUAAAAAACAAGAAACUCAUUCCGGUAUCCGACUUCAUAGAAGUGUCUAAAUCCGCAGGUAUCUAAAACUGGAGUCUGAACCUUCACGAGCACCUACUCCCCAAUCACGUGUAGUAGUAGGAAUCCGGGCAUCGGGCAGCGGCACUCCGCCCCAUGCGGUCCCGGUCGUCCGCACCGCCCCUACACGCUGGCCUCCCGCGCCGCCCCACUUCAGCCCGGCCGUCCGCGUCGCCACGCCCGGGUGCGUUGCAACGGGUAUACAUAUAUUACAAUUAUUUAAUAUUAAUUAUGUCUAACAUAUAUAUUUAGGUUUUUCAUGCACAUUACGGUAUUGUCAACACUAUCAUACUUCCUCUCCUCACUAUCUCCUGUGUCGAAGCUGGCAUUGUCCUAAUAUCAAUUAAACAAGCAGAUUUUCCUCCUUUUCCAAUAAAAUAUAUCCUUAAAUUAGUAUAUUCAUUGUUUGCUUUCUGUUGAGGCCGGAAAGGUGGACUCUUUCAUUUUUAUUUGUUGGUUAUUGUGUGUCAUUGUAUAUGCAUUUUCAGCCCACAUUCAGGAACAAUCAUAUGUACUAGUAUUUUACCUAGUGAGUUUGUAAUGUGGUAAUUUCUAGCAGCGGGAUGGAUCAAGCUAAUACUCCCUUGCUACUUAUUCAAUAUAUAAGGUAUGUAUGCAUAUUCUUUCUUCAUUUUGCAGGUGGCACAGA